rnacentral:rRNA from 1 species
AGCAGCCGCGGUAAUUCCAGCUCCAAUAGCGUAUAUUAAAGUUGUUGCAGUUAAAAAGCUCGUAGUUGAAUUUCGGGGUCAGCAGGUUGGUCGUGCCUCUGGUACGCACUGGUUUCGCUGAUUCCUCCUUUCUGAAGAACUGUAAUGUCAUUAAUUUGGUGUUGCAGGGAAACAGGACUGUUACUUUGAAAAAAUUAGAGUGUUUAAAGCAAGCUAACGCUUGAAUACAUUAGCAUGGAAUAAUGAAAUAGGACGUUUGAUCCUAUUUUGUUGGUUUCUAGGAUUGACGUAAUGAUUAAUAGGGAUAGUUGGGGGCAUUAGUAUUCAAUUGUCAGAGGUGAAAUUCUUGGAUUUAUUGAAGACUAACUACUGCGAAAGCAUUUGCCAAGGAUGUUUUCAUUAAUCAAGAACGAAAGUUAGGGGAUCGAAGACGAUCAGAUACCGUCGUAGUCUUAACCAUAAACUAUGCCGACUAGGGAUCGGAUGAUGUAAUUUUUAAUGACUCAUUCGGCGCCUUAAC